AAGUCGUAACAAGGUUUCCGUAGGUGAACCUGCGGAAGGAUCAUUAGCGAGUGGUUUUCCCGCGAGGGAGCUGCCCGACCUGUUGUCAUUUGCGCCGGGGGUGGGGGAUGUGUCGGCGAGAGGGUACCCGGAGGGGACGUUUGUCUCGGAAGGGGGGCCUGGGGCCGGCGCACCGCCGCACCGGGAUUUAAACUUCGGCGGAAGAGGCAGGCGUCGACCUGCCCGCCGCCGGCGACAAGUCUUUACAUCUUGAGGAGAAGCUGAAGUCUGAAGAAGUGAAAAACGAAGAAGAAGCAAAACUUUCAACAACGGAUCUCUUGGCUCUG
rnacentral:misc_RNA from 1 species